GUGUUGAUUUCUGGCUCCUGCGACCAGGCCGACUUCGGUCGCGGCGACUUCCAGGAGCUCGAUCAGGUGGCCGUCGUUAGGCCUUUCUCCAAGUUCUCUGCAAAAGCCACUGAUAUUUCCCAAAUACCUAACUGCGUUUUUAAAGUCCUGGAUCAAGCUCUUUCGGGUCGGCCUGGUGGUUGUUACUUGGAUCUUCCAACGGAUGUUCUCCACCAAACUGUUUCUCAAUCCGAGGCCGAGACUCUGUUGGCUGCUGCUGAAAAAUCUAGGGCAAAGCCACAAUUUCCAUCUGUCGAGAGUUCACUGAUCGAGAAGGCAGUU
rnacentral:lncRNA from 1 species